GGCUAAUGCAAAGGUUAUCACAAGGCCAACAUCUAUAAAUCAGACGUCUUUUCCCCCUAAGGCAGCAGUUCUCAAAAUUUUAACACCUGUAAAAAUCACAGGGAGGGCUUAUUAAAACGCUGACUGUGGCCCCCCAUCCCCCGAGUUUGGAUUCAGGAGUUGGGGGAGGGACCAGAAUUUGCUUUUCAAACAAGUUUCUCAAGUAAUGCUGAUGCUUCUGACCCAGGGACGCCACUUGGAGAACAACUGACCCUAAAGAAACCUUCACACUGAUUCCGCACUCAGCUCUUCCUUACUUAAGAUGGAGCAACCUGCUCACCAUUAUCCUCUGGAGAAGGAUGAAGUCACACCAGAGUAAGAGAGGCACUUGAAAGCAGCAGCGGAACAACCCCUGGUUGGGGCGAGGGAAGUGGUUGGGGGAACAGUAACUCCGAC
rnacentral:lncRNA from 1 species